CCCAUACUUCACUCACCUUCCCCUUGUAUUAACACCUUGCAAUGUAUUUCGUUGAUACCAAGAAAUAAGCAUACUUAGAAUACUAUUAACUAAAUUACAGACUUUAUUCAAAUCUUAUCAGGUUUUUAACCAGUUUUCACCAUGCAUCUGUUUCUGUUUCAGGAUCCAAAUCAGGAUCCCACGCUGCAUUCAGUCAUGUCUCCCCGGUCUCUUCCGAUUUGGCUUGUCAUGUUGAAUCUUACCUAUGGAGAUGAACAGCAUGCCAAAUGGGUAAUAAGUAUUCCAGGUGUUGCCUUGCUGCUUUCCAGCAAAGUUAUUAAUAAAAAAAGCAUGAGGAAGAGGAGAAAGGCUAAGAUCUUUUCCAAUGCACAAUGAGGAAAAUACACACUAUGACAGUAGUACAAAUCUUUUUCGAUCCAACAAUGAAGAAAAAGGAACAAAGCCUAGGAAAUGAGUGUACAGAGGGGAAAAAAAAAUCACUUGCCACUGAGGGAAGUAUUUCUCAAGUUUAAACCAAAGCAAACAAAAAACACCUGAUGACAUACAGUCCUAAUAAAAUUUUAUUGAGAACCA
rnacentral:lncRNA from 13 species